AAGAUACUAAUAAAAUAAAUUGUGUGGUGAAAAAGUAUGCGUCCGGUGAAUAACUAUAAAGCAAGAAAUAAAAUAAAACAAACAAAAACAAUAACAAAAUAUAUGAGGGGGCGCAUGAUUAAAAAUAAUGGGGUGUGUGAAAUGAAAAUAAAAAAAAACACACAAAUAACAAAUGGGUAAAGAAAAUAAAAGCAGAAAGUAAAAUAAAUAAAAAAAGCAACCCAAUAAGCGUAAGGGUGUAGAGAUGAAAAACCAGGGGUGCUUGACGAAAUAUUUAGCCCAAGCUUAACUUCUUUCACGUCAGAAACCUAGGUUUCUUUUAUCCCUCCGGUGAGACAAAACACAACUCCUUCUUGCCUUUUUUCCUUUCACCGUAAGAAUCACAGCACCAUCAACACCACGUCUCAAACUCCGGCCACCUAUGCUCUUGUCAGAAGUCGCUCUAAACACUACGGCCCCUUUUUCUUUUAUCUUUGACCUUAUGUUUCAAUAGAUCAGCCUCCCACCAUUCACGAUUCCCUCACCUGAAAUUCCUAAUUUCAUCUCCUCUUCAACACAAAAUAGAACGCCCCACUUUCAUCUAUACUCUACUUCUCGUGGAGAAAUAAACACAAUGCCAUGAUCUCACCGACGCUCCCCUUUACCUGUCAUCCGCCGCCGAAACUACACCGCUGACGCCGAUGAUUGUCUCUACUUCGCCGCCGUCAGCCUUGGAGGCCGCCACGACGCUACCCUCUCACUUUCCUCCUUCGAAUGGGGCUCAUCAUUUCCAAGGUUCAUCACCGUCACACCAUAACGCCGUGACUGGGAAUGCCUCCUAUUUAUUGUGUUUUCUGUCUUUGCAUGGAAGUGGCCCCCUGGGGUUUUUGGUGGUUGGAAGAUGAAAUUAAAGUUGAAGUUGGAUGGGAGAAUGGGAUUCUAUGACGUGCGUGAUGGAGGAAAUGGUUUCGGAGGGUGUGAUUCUAUUGAGUGAAUGAAGGAAUAGAAAGUUCGUGUGGGUGUCCGUGAUGGAGGAAAUGGUUUUGGCUUCGGAGGAGGUGAUUAUGUUGAGUUGAUAGAGAGGAGCGUGAGAGUGAACCCUCCAAAGUCCCCGUAGUGUGUGAAGGGAAUUGGGAAUAAAAGGGAAAAGUGGUUUUGGAUCGUUUCGGGUCAGAGGAGCACAGGGGUGGAGAGCAAAACGGAGCGUGUGUCAG